CGCAUCUGUGCAUGCAGCAUAUCAAUAAGCGGAGGAAAAGAAACUAACAAGGAUUCCCCUAGUAACGGCGAGUGAAGCGGGAAGAGCUCAAAUUUGAAAUCUUAAAGGGUUUCCCUUUACGAAUUGUAGUUUAAAGAAGUGUUUUCUGUUGAGGUUUUGGUAAAAGUUCUUUGGAAUAGGACAUCAUAGAGGGUGAGAAUCCCGUAUUUGACCUUUACUUUCAACUUUGUGAUACACUUUCAAAGAGUCGGAUUGUUUGGGAAUGCAGUCCAAAAUGGGUGGUAAAUUUCAUCUAAAGCUAAAUAUUGGCGAGAGACCGAUAGCGAACAAGUACCGUGAGGGAAAGAUGAAAAGAACUUCGAAAAGAGAGUUAAACAGUACGUGAAAUUGUCAAAAGGGAAGCGUUUGACACCAGUGUUGUUUUUCUGAAAAUCAAUUAAAGAACUGUUUAUGCUAAGUUGUUUAGACUUUAUCAGCUAUCUGUUUAGUUUUGAGCUUUUCUUUAAUGCACUUUUCAGUUAACAAGUCAACAUCAAUUUCUUUUGCUGUAAAAAAGCUUGAGGAAGGUGGCUUGAGAUUCGUCUUAAGUGUUUAUAGCCUCUUGCCUAUGCAGUCGGAGAGAUUGAGGUCUGCAGCGUAGAUCCUUCGGGGCUAAAUGCAUUUGUGCUAAGUUAUAGCAUUUUAUAGACAACUUGUUGACUAUGAUUUGUCUUGUAGCUUACUCGCUUAUGUUAUUUUACCUACGCUUAGGAUGUUGAAUCUGUGCGAGACUAC
rnacentral:rRNA from 1 species